rnacentral:piRNA from 1 species
UAAUGUAAGAAGCCACAGUUC